UACGGGGGGAGCAAGCGUUGUUCGGAUUUACUGGGCGUAAAGGGCUCGUAGGCGGCCAACUAAGUCGGAUGUGAAAUCCCCAGGCUUAACCUGGGAACUGCAUCCGAUACUGGAUGGCUUGAAUCCGGGAGAGGGAUGCAGAAUUCCAGGUGUAGCGGUGAAAUGCGCAGAUAUCAGGAGGAACACCGGUGGCGAAGGCGGGUCUCUGGGCCGAAAUUGACGCUGAGGAGCGAAAGCGUGGGGAGCGAACAGG
rnacentral:rRNA from 1 species